UGCACAUUUAAGUUAUGUAUUACAUGUCUUUAGUGGUGAUCACUAUUUUAUCAGUUCCUCUGUCUUUCUUUAUACCAAGUAUGACUCAUAAACCCAGUAUUAAUUUGCCAAGAGAUUGGCAUACUAUUUGUAUAUAUGCUUUUCUUUCAAAUAAUCUGGAUUUCCAAUGCCCACAAUCAUUGAUCCUAAAGAAAAUGUGGGAGUAGGUAAACUCAAACAUCCCUACCAUCACCCCUGGUAGGAAAUCACUGGUGUAAUGUAUGAUAUUAACAUCUGCACCAAUUACUGUUAUAGGUGGAACCAAAGUUUUAAUCAAAGAAGGUGGUGUUCAGUUGCUGCUUACAAUAGUUGAUACCCCAGGAUUUGGAGAUGCAGUGGAUAACAGUAAUUGCUGGCAGCCUGUUAUCAAUUACAUUGAUAUUAAAUUUGAGGACUACCUAAAUGCAGAAUCGCGAGUGAACAGAUGUCAGAUGCCUGGUAACAGGGUGCAGUGUUGUUUAUACUUCAUUGCUCCUUCAGGACAUGGGUCAGUAACCUGAUAGUUCUGAUUCCUUUUUGUUGUUGUUGCUUACUGUUACCUUUAUG
rnacentral:lncRNA from 1 species